AGGUGCUGAACAUCUUGGCGGAAAUACCCGCCGCGUCUAUGACGGCUUCACUGUUGCCGUCAGGUAGCUUGCCACCAGGGAUCCAGAAUUCGUUUGCACCGGCUUCAUUUCCUGAUGGAAUCCGUAGAUUCAACUGCUUCGGAUCAGGGAUGUCUACCCGGACCAGUGCAUUGGUAUCAAGAAAAUUCUCAGGCAAGCCAAGGGCUUGCUCCAACGCGCGCUUGUCACCUGCUGUCUUGGCAAGUAGUUCGGUUGCUUCGUGGCCUGGCAUGAUGAACGACGUACCAUCUCUCUGUGCGAUGCCGUAUUUCUCAAGGUUGGUCUGGGUCAUGAAGCGUGAGGCGCCAUUUUCGAAUUGGGCCAAGUGUUGCGCGACAUAAUCUGGGUCUAGAUAAGUGGUGGGGUCGGGCCUUUCGCCUUUGGCGAUUGCAAGGAUAUCUUCUUCGGUGAAUCCAGGUUUGUAUUUGGGUUUUGGCGGCUCAACAGCCUUCUGCGAUAGCUCGCGAGAGCGUCCGUUGGCAGGUAGUGGUUCAGUCUCUGCACGCUUGAAUGGUGUGGCGUCACGUGCUUGAAGUUCAGCAUGUGCCAGCAGCUUUUGCUCGUUCUUUGCCAGCCAGGCGGCCAGUUGCUUGUUGGACAUUUCCGCCUGCAGCCGGGCACUGCGUAUGGCGGGCGUUUCCAUAUUCCUCUGAAUGCCCGCCUUUAUCUGCCCGCGGGUCAGGUAGGUUACAAUGGCCGUCAGCAGCAGCAACACCAGUUGCUCCUGGCCGCGGGCCAGUUGGCGCGCCGCACGCUCGACACGCUCCUGGGCCUGCGCCGCGGAACCGCCGCUCGGGUCCAGGCCAGCGGGCUUGAGGCCAUCCUCGGCGAACCAGGCCGUGGCCAUGCCUUGCUGAAGGGUCGACAGGCAGGCAGGCAGGCCCUGAUAAAAAUACUCGGCGAUGGCGGACAGCCCCAGGCCCAUGAGGAUCAGGUUGCCGACCUGCAGGCCAAUGCCGGCGCCGGCCACCGCGCCCGGCGCCGCGCCGACGCCAAAGGCGAACGCCCCGGCUUCUAUAGGUUAAGUCAAGACUCAGGGUUAUUAACCCUAAGCUUUUCGUCUCUAUUGAAAGUGCUUUACAACCCUCAGGCCUUCUUCACACACGCGGUAUUGCUGGAUCAGGCUUGCGCCCAUUGUCCAAUAUUCCCCACUGCUGCCUCCCGUAGGAGUCUGGGCCGUGUCUCAGUCCCAGUGUGGCUGAUCAUCCUCUCAAACCAGCUAUAGAUCGUUGCCUUGGUGAGCCAUUACCCCACCAACAAGCUAAUCUAACGCGGGCUCAUCUAAUAGCGUGAGGUCCGAAGAUCCCCCACUUUGCUCCGUAGAGAUUAUGCGGUAUUAAUCCGGAUUUCUCCGGGCUAUCCCCCACUAUAAGGUAGAUUCCCACGCGUUACGCACCCGUCCGCCACUCUACUCGUCCGAAGACUUUCGCGUCCGACUUGCAUGUCUUAAGCACGCCGCCAGCGUUCGUUCUGAGCCAUGAUCAAAG
rnacentral:rRNA from 1 species